rnacentral:rRNA from 1 species
AAUAGAUACCCAGGUAGUCCACGCCCUAAACGAUGUCAACUAGCUGUUGGGGCCUUCGGGCCUUAGUAGCGCAGCUAACGCGUGAAGUUGACCGCCUGGGGAGUACGGUCGCAAGAUUAAAACUCAAAGGAAUUGACGGGGACCCGCACAAGCGGUGGAUGAUGUGGAUUAAUUCGAUGCAACGCGAAAAACCUUACCUACCCUUGACAUGUCUGGAAUGCCGAAGAGAUUUGGCAGUGCUCGCAAGAGAACCGGAACACAGGUGCUGCAUGGCUGUCGUCAGCUCGUGUCGUGAGAUGUUGGGUUAAGUCCCGCAACGAGCGCAACCCUUGUCAUUAGUUGCUACGAAAGGGCACUCUAAUGAGACUGCCGGUGACAAACCGGAGGAAGGUGGGGAUGACGUCAAGUCCUCAUGGCCCUUAUGGGUAGGGCUUCACACGUCAUACAAUGGUCGGGACAGAGGGUCGCCAACCCGCGAGGGGGAGCCAAUCCCAGAAACCCGAUCGUAGUCCGGAUUGCAGGCUGCAACUCGUC